rnacentral:lncRNA from 1 species
UCAUAAUAAUGAUCAGCAUCCAAGAAAAACAUGUUCUGCGGUGAAUCUGGGUUUUCAUUAUCUACAGGCUCAGCAACUUGCUCUUCACCAUCCUUACUUUUAACUUCUAAAACAUUCUUGAUUUCUGGCCUUGUAUCAUCAGGGGCAGGUUGUGGUGUAGUAGGAUCAUUAUGAUUUGACAGUAUAGGUUCAUUUGCAUCAGAAGAGGCAGGUUGUGGUGUAGUAGGAUCAUUAUGAUUUGACAGUAUAGGUUCAUUUGCAUCAGAAGAGGCAGGUUGUGGUGUAGUAGGAUUGUUAUUACUCAACAAUAUAGGUUCAAGAUCACAAGCUUUACUAACAGCCGCUUCACAGACUUCAGGCUUCACCUCAACCUCCACCGCUAUCAUUUCAACAUCACCAUCACUAACAUUAUUUUGACAUGCA